CUGUCAGUGUCCCAGAAAGACAACAUUACCAAAUUAAACAUGCCUGUGAUAAGGAGUUUUGAGCUCUUAAAGCCUGUAUAAGACAAGCAGUAACUGGAGAGCUAACAUCAUUGUAGAAUUGAUGCAAAAGCAAAUUAUGUGUCUUCAUCCUUUGUCACUGAGAUGUCAAAAUGGCUGAUCCACUGUGCAACGCUGGUAAUGGUUUAUUGUUUCUUGUUUCUUGUUAUGGCUCUCUAAACAUUUUCUACUAUACCAACAUGGAGAAUUUGUCCAACAAUCAAGAGCUUCUUUAGUCGGUGAUCAGCUCUUUUAUUCUGCUGACCUUAAUGGAGUGUUUCAGCGUGAUAUGGUAAGGAGAAAUUAGAUGCCAGUCACUCUUAGGGGUUAAAGGGUUACAAACCUGAAUCAAUCUGUAGCUCGUACAACGGAGGGAUAAAUCAGCAAGGCUGGAUUCUAUUAUUUAUUCUCGCACUAAAUGUAUGUUAAGGUUUUCAUGUCUAACUUUUGUUGGUAAUUUUUGUGUUGGCAGGAUCACUUAGGAGAUCUGUGUAAAGCGAUCAGAAACAAAGAUGCUGAUUUGGCUCGGUGCUGGAGUAAAAGUGAACAGUGGUGUACUGUUACAUAGCUUAGGGAAGCAGCAAAUGACCCCUCACCAGAGCCACGAGGAUCAGGGGACGUCGACACUACACGAGAACGCGGGAACUGUGAAAUGUGUAGCUUACCUCAACACUGAGAAAAGUGAUUAAAAGUUUGUUGGACAUUAUUAUUGAUAAAAGUCAAGGUGAAGCUGCAGGACAGACAACAAAGCACAGAAUUUAGAUAAAUGUCCAGUUCGGCUCUGCUGAACAUAUUUUGGCUUUUUGAGAAGUUCCGCUAAGAACGUUUUUAUUUCAUCGCCAGCGGAAUCGCUAACGGAACCAUUGAAAAUGCAUCCCUACCUCUCUUCACCAUAUUUAGCUAAAAAAAAUUUAAAGAUUUCUGAUACCAAGACGCGAAACAGCGCGUGCUGAAACCAAUGGAGAUAUUUUUGUUGUUGAUCUACUGGUGUGGUGUUUUAUAUAGUGACUGAAAGGGUGUGACAGAGAUGUUUUGUGGAUGCAAAUAAA